rnacentral:lncRNA from 1 species
UGUUAAGUGUUAAAUUGUGUGUAUAUUUUUUUUUGGAGAAUAGCUAGCUACUUGGUUGUAGCUAGGUACCCCGCCCUUCUAUUUCCGUCGAUGAACGGUUCCUCUGGGCUCUGUCAUAGUGUGUUCUGCAGAUGAAAUUAUUAGAUGAAACUUUCAAGUUUGAAAUGAAAAUUUUGAACUUCCGGCUGGAACUUUCAGCUUUGAGUAGUUGUAUAUAUCUUCUCUCUCUCUCUCUAACAAAAAGCUAGUUGUAUCUCUACUCGCAAAGAAAAAGGAGUGAGCGAAUGUCGUGAUUUUCUGUAGUUGAAAGGUGGCAGAAUCUAGGGCGAGGAACAGGAUAUGUUGUUUA